ACGCCGGCUGGGCGAGGGUGCCCGCGCCCAUCUGACGGACGAAAUCGUGGUCGACGUAGCUGUUCCAGUCGGCAGCGGCGGC
rnacentral:tRNA from 1 species